AGAUAAUACUUGUGUGAAAACCCUUUACUAGACCAUGUUCUUAAGGAUGAGUUGAAGUAUUAUGUAACAGUUUCUAACUGGAUUGCACUUGAGUGAAAGUUAUCUGGAGGCGAAAUUGCUCAUAUAAAUGAUUCCCCUAGGAUCAGGAAUGGUCGUGGCAAGACUAGAGGGAAAGGUCUUGAAAGGAUGAGGAAGACUAUGGGAAGCAAGAUGAAAAUUGAGAUCCCAGUUGGUAAAGGGAGGCCAACUAAGCCAACUCAAUCGGCAAAAUUAUCCAAUGAACUAGGGAUAAUUGCCAGAAAUUUUCUUUCGCUUCCAAACAAGUGGAAGGAACUCACAAGAGAGGACAAAGAUGCAGCACUAAUUAGAUGCCACGUAAGGAUUCUAUACUCUUGUAAUUUUAUUACAUGGUAGUGAUUAUAGUGAGUUCUCUUCUUUUGGGUAUUGCUGUUACUCAUCCAUCUAUUUAUUUGGCAAACUCAUCGGCUAUAUCUAUCUCCAUCGAAAGCUAGUAGUAAGUUAACUCAUGUAUCCUUCGCUUACUACGUAUGGCUCUAGAGUACUCACACAUGAACUACAAUCAUUUUCUGUGAUGUAGUACAAAUUUUUUGAACUGCAAUUUAUGCUUCCCUAAGUUUUUUAAAAUAAUCUAUUUGCAUUAUCUAUU